rnacentral:rRNA from 1 species
CACAUGCAAGUCGAGGGGCAGCAUWUUUMUAGCAAUAKAARWGAUGGCGACCGGCGCACGGGUGAGUAACACGUAUCCAACCUMCCKWUWACUCKGGAAUAGCCUUUCGAAAGAAAGAUUAAUACCGGAURGYAUACGAAUAUCGCAUGAUAUUUUUAUUAAAGAAUUUCGGUUAUCGAUGGGGAUGCGUUCCAUUAGUUUGUUGGCGGGGUAACGGCCCACCAAGACUACGAUGGAUAGGGGUUCUGAGAGGAAGGUCCCCCACAUUGGAACUGAGACACGGUCCAAACUCCUACGGGAGGCAGCAGUGAGGAAUAUUGGUCAAUGGGCGMRRGCCUGAACCAGCCAAGUAGCGUGAAGGAUGAAGGCUCUAUGGGUCGUAAACUUCUUUUAUAUGGGAAUAAAGUUUUCCACGUGUGGAAUUUUGUAUGUACCAUAUGAAUAAGGAUCGGCUAACUCCGUGCCAGCAGCCGCGGUAAUACGGAGGAUCCGAGCGUUAUCCGGAUUUAUUGGGUUUAAAGGGAGCGUAGGUGGAUUGUUAAGUCAGUUGUGAAAGUUUGCGGCUCAACCGUAAAAUUGCAGUUGAAACUGGSAGUCUUGAGUACAGUAGAGGUGGGCGGAAUUCGUGGUGUAGCGGUGAAAUGCUUAGA